rnacentral:rRNA from 1 species
UACGAAGGGGGCUAGCGUUGCUCGGAAUCACUGGGCGUAAAGGGUUCGUAGGCGGGUUUUUAAGUCAGGGGUGAAAUCCUGGAGCUCAACUCCAGAACUGCCUUUGAUACUGAAGCUCUUGAGUCCGGGAGAGGUGAGUGGAACUGCGAGUGUAGAGGUGAAAUUCGUAGAUAUUCGCAAGAACACCAGUGGCGAAGGCGGCUCACUGGCCCGGUACUGACGCUGAGGCACGAAAGCGUGGGGAGCAAACAGG